GCGAGUUUCGUGCAGCACACCCGAAGCCCGACGAUCUAGCCAUGGGCAGGUUGAAGUGAGGGUGAAACCUCAUGGAGGACCCAACCAGUGCCUGUUGAAAAAGUCUUGGAUGACCUGUGGUUAGGAGUGAAAAGCUAAUCGAGUUGGGUAAUAGCUGGUUCUCCCCGAAAUGCAUUGAGGUGCAGCCUCAAGUAGUAAGUGUCGGGGGUAGAGCUACUGACAGAUCAAGGGGUCCUGGGGGACUACCGAGAUCUAUCAAACUCCGAAUACCGACACUGUAAACUUGGGAGUGAGACUACGGGUGAUAAGGUUCGUGGUCAAAAGGGAAACAGCCCAGAUCAACAGCUAAGGCCCCAAAGAGUUCGCUAAGUGUGACAAGGAUGUGGGAAGCCUCAGACAGCCAGGAGGUUGGCUCAGAAGCAGCCAUCCUUUAAAGAGUGCGUAACAGCUCACUGGUCGAGGUCUCCUGCGCCGAAAAUGUAGGGGGCUAAGCGAACCGCCGAAGCUAUGGGAUGUGAAAACAUCGGUAGGGGAGCGUACUCUAAAGGGAAGAAGCCGCAUUGUGAAGUGCGGUGGACUACAGAGUAGUGAGAAUGUCGGCAUGAGUAACGCAAUGCGAGUGAGAGCCUCGCACACCGAAAGACCAAGGAUUCCUGGGGAAGGUUCGUCCGCCCAGGGUUAGGCGGGACCUAAGGUCAGGCUGAAAAGCGUAGCCGAUGGACAACCGGUAGACAUUCCGGUCCCGCGAGAGCUUGCAUGACCGAAGGAGUGACGCAGGAGGCUAAGUGGAGCCGGCGGAUGGAAGAGCCGGUUCAAGGGAGUAGGGAGACGAGGCAGGCAAAUCCACCUUGUCGAUAAUCCUGAGACCUGAUGGGGAGCCCUUAGAGGGUGAAGCCACUGAAGCCCGGCUGCCGAGAAAAGCUUCUAGGGAGAGCGAUCGCGCCCGUACCCGAAACCGACACAGGUGGUCAGGCUGAACAAGCCAAGGUGAAUGGGAAAACUCUCGUUAAGGAACUCUGCAAGUUGACUCCGUAACUUAGGGAGAAGGAGUGCUGCGCCCGUGAAAUGGAUACUCAUGUAAGCGGGAAGCAGCCGCAGAAACCAGGCCCAAGCGACUGUUUAAUAAAAACAUAGGACUCUGCGUAAGGUGCAAACCGAAGUAUAGGGUCUGACGCCUGCCCGGUGCUGGAAGGUUAAAGGGAAGAGUUAGCCGCAAGGCGAAGCUUAGAACUGAAGCCCCAGUAAACGGCGGCCGUAACUAUAACGGUCCUAAGGUAGCGAAAUUCCUUGUCGGGUAAGUUCCGACCUGCACGAAUGGCGUAACGAUUUGGGCGCUGUCUCGACGAGAGACCCAGUGAAAUUGUAGUACCGGUCAAGAUGCCGGUUACCCGUGGCGGGACGGAAAGACCCCAUGGAGCUUUACUGUAGCCUGGUACUGACGUUUGACCUUACACGUACAGGAUAGGUGGGAGACUGAGAAUACAGAUCGUUAGAUUUGUAGGAGUCGAUGUUGGGAUACCACCCUUGUGAUGUUGAACGUCUAACGCAUAGCACUGAAGCGUGAAUGCGGACCCUGCCAGGUGGGCAGUUUGACUGGGGCGGUCGCCUCCUAAAGAGUAACGGAGGCGCGCAAAGGUCAACUCAGGGCGGAUGGAAAUCGCCCAGAGAGCGUAAGGGUAUAAGUUGGCUUGACUGCGAGAGUGACAAUUCGAGCAGAGACGAAAGUCGGUCCUAGUGAUCCGGCGGUGCUGAGUGGAAAGGCCGUCGCUCAUCGGAUAAAAGCUACCCUGGGGAUAACAGGCUGAUCUCCCCCGAGAGUUCCCAUCGACGGGGAGGUUUGGCACCUCGAUGUCGGCUCGUCGCAUCCUGGGGCUGUAGCAGGUCCCAAGGGUUGGUCUGUUCGCCCAUUAAAGCGGUACGUGAGCUGGGUUUAAAACGUCGUGAGACAGUUUGGUCCCUAUCCGCCACGGGCGCAAGAUAUUUGAGAGGAGCUGCUCCUAGUACGAGAGGACCGGAGUGGACGCACCGCUAGUGUACCGGUUGUGUUGCCAGACGCAGAAGCCGGGUAGCCAUGUGCGGCAGGGAUAACCGCUGAAGGCAUCUAAGUGGGAAGCC
rnacentral:rRNA from 1 species